GGAAAAAACUGCUUGGUCUUGAUUUUCUUUCCCACCCAUUUAUUUUCAGGCUUAGUCCACCUCGGACCCACGAAUUCCCGGAGCCCCGCAGGCUGGGGCAUCCCCUUCCUCCCUUACCGCUCCAUGUGCAUCCCCCCUCCCGAAGCUGUGUGCUCAAUCGAAGACAAUGACUUUCCCCGAAUAGAGGAGGACCAGUCUUCGGUCAAGGGUAUAUGAGUAGCUGCGAUCCCCUGCUAGAACCUCCAAACAAGCUCUCACGGUCCAGAAUUCAGCUUUUAUUAAGGGUCCCCAGUAAGGUUGGGGCUGUGGCCGCAUUU
rnacentral:snRNA from 1 species